UACGAAGGGUGCAAGCGUUGUUCGGAUUUAUUGGGCGUAAAGCGCGCGUAGGUGGACCUUUAAGUCAGAUGUGAAAUCUCGGGGCUCAACCUCGAAACUGCGUCUGAAACUGGAGGUCUAGAAUCUUGGAGGGGGAAGGGGAAUUUCUCAUGUAGGGGUAAAAUCCGUAGAUAUGAGAAGGAACACCAGAGGCGAAGGCGCCUUCCUGGACAAGUAUUGACACUGAGGCGCGAAAGCGUGGGGAUCAAACAGG
rnacentral:rRNA from 1 species